ensembl:lncRNA
GUUAGUUUUCCCAAUGAAACAAGGACCCCUGAGCAACGCAUCUCAGGACACGGAGCUCUAGUGACAAGUGCAGGGCUCUCGUCCUAUUCCAGUCUUUCUCAAUGACUUCAGUUAGGAGUCAAAAAGCCUGCUUAUCUACCUGGCAGACAAGAGGGAACUUCCACGCAAAAGAUUUCUUACCAGGUACAAGGGAAUUGGACAACCUUUCUUGCGUUCAGCAAAUUGUACCGUCAAAGAGGAAAAUCCCACAGACUGAAGGAGGAGGAGGAAGAAGAGGAGGAAGAGGAGAAGAAAAAGAAGAAGAAGGAGGAGGAGAAAAGCUGUGUUUACAUUUUAGAAAGCAACCUCGGGGAGACAGCAAACUUCCUGCCUGUGGAGACCACAGUGAAGCCCUCGGGAGCCCUCGGGAGUCCACUGGCUUGUUGGGCCUCUUCCUUAAGCAAACUUGAACCUCACUCACCCUACUCGAAUUAUUCUUCAGUUUGUCGGAGGUGGUCCUGUCCUCCGUGGCCAGCUCCAUCCACUGUGGGUUUGAGGGAAGCCCUCCUGAUUUCGUCACCAUCAUCACACCUGCUGGAGGAUGGUCACGUGCUGGAGCACGCAGGAGUGGUGCUGUGUCUGAAUCUGGCACCGAGCGCAGGCAGGGAGAGGUUCACGUGGUGAGAUCUGCCUUGGGAACCACCCUCUCCAAAGCCGACAUCCUGUGAGAUUCACGAGCAGUGUUCUGAGCCUUCUCAGCAGUGCCUCUUCCUGCUAUGGACGCUCAAUGCCUGUCUGGUUAAUAAAGGACACG